GGGGCAUGGUGGCCUGUUGCUUCUGCGGUUGAGGCAUUGGGGCUGGUUGCUUCUGCAGCAUGGUGGCCAGUUUCUGCUGCUGGGGCAUUUGAGCUGGAUGCCACUCUUGCUGGGGCAUGGCGGUUGGUUGCUUCUGUGGUAGAGGCAUGAAGGCCAGAUGCUUCUGGGGCAUUUGAGCUGGAUACCUCACUUGCUGGGGUAUGGUGGCCAGUUCCUGUUGAUGCUGGGGAAUGUGCAUUGGGUGCCACACUUGCUGAGGUAGCUGGGGCAUGGUGGCCGGUUCCUUCUGCUGCUGAGGUUCAGCGGCCGGUUCCUUCUGCAGCUGGGGCUUUUGAGCUGGAUACCAUGCUUGCUGGGGCAUGGUGGCCGGUUCCUUCUGCUGCUGGGGUUCAGCAGCCGGUUCCUUCUGCUGCUGAGGUUCAGCAGCCGGUUGCUUCCGCUGCUGAGGUUCAGCGGCCGGUUCCUUCUGCAGCUGGGGCUUUUGAGCUGGAUACCAUGCUUGCUGGGGCAUGGUGGCCGGUUCCUUCUGCUGCUGGGGUUCAGCGGUUGGUUGCUUCUGGGGCAUUUGAGCUGGAUACCAUGCUUGCUGGGGCAUGGCGGUCAGUUCAAUCUGCUCCUGAGGAUCAGCGGCCAGUUGCUUCUGGGGCUUAGCUGGAUACCACACUUGCUGGGGCAUGGCAGUCAGUUGCUUCAGCAGCAUUUGAGCUGGAUGCAACACUUGCUGAGGUUGCUGGGUUAUGGAGGCCGGUUCCUUCUGCUGCUGAGGUUCAGUAGCCGGUUGCUUUUGCUGCUGGGGCAAUUGAGCUGGAUGCCACACUUGCUGCUGCAUGGUGGCCGGUUGCUUCUGCUGCAUUUGAGCUGGAUACCAUGCUUUCUGGGGCAUAGCUGUUGGUCGUUUCUGCGGUAUAGGCAUUGGAGCCGGUUGCUUCUGGGGCAUGGUGGUCAGUUCGGUCUGCUGCUGAGGACCAGUAGCUGGUUGCUUUUGC
ensembl:lncRNA